UAAGGAAUAUUGGACAAUGGAGGCAACUCUGAUCCAGCCAUGCCGCGUGAAGGAAUAAGGCCCUAUGGGUUGUAAACUUCUUUUAGACGGGACAAAACCCCUUUACGUGUAAAGGGUUGAUGGUACUGUCAGAAUAAGCAUCGGCUAACUUCGUGCCAGCAGCCGCGGUAAUACGAAGGAUGCAAGCGUUAUCCGGAAUCACUGGGCGUAAAGGGCGCGUAGGCGGUCUGUUAAGUCCGAUGUUAAAUCCCGGGGCUCAACCCCGGAUAAGCGUUGGNUACUGGCAGGCUAGACGGUUGGAGAGGCGAGUGGAAUUACCAGUGUAGCGGUGGAAUGCGUAGAUACUGGUAGGAACACCCAUUGCGAAGGCAGCUCGCUGGACAACACGUGACGCUGAGGCGCGAAAGUGUGGGGAGCAAACC
rnacentral:rRNA from 1 species